rnacentral:misc_RNA from 1 species
AACGCACAUUGCACUCUUUAGUAUUCUGAGGAGUAUACAUGUUCGAGCGUCGUUUACCUCUAAGACUAACGUCUUGUGUUGAUGGACCCGAGACAUCGGGCCGUUGUAAACCAUUGGCGUUUUUGCUUUCGAGAAUCCCACUCAAAUGGGAAGAUCCAAUGCAAAAAUUGCCCAAAUUUCCUAAACGUUCGACCUCGAAUCAUGUAGGAUUACCCGCUGAACUUAA